GCCGUGGUGGCGAAAUUGGUAGACGCGCUAGCUUGAGGGGCUAGUAUCCGCAAGGAUGUGGAGGUUCGAGUCCUCUCCACGGCACCA
rnacentral:tRNA from 1 species